AGGGCGUCGUGUAAUGUACCAGAUAUCGAUUCAAAUUGUUUCGUUUUUUUCAAGCCAAACGUUUGAAAAACAGACAUUUAUGAGAAAUGUCAUCGACAAUCUGUUGCUGGAUAGUUUUCCCAUUGUAUUCGAUCAAGCUUUUUUAGUGUGUGUAUAUAGUUCAGACCCUUUUCGAGCGAAUUUGUCCAACACAGCAGACAAUUCUAAGAAUGUCUGACGUUGAGGUCAUCAGUCUGAUAGGCAACAACAAAUGUUUGUUUGUUUGUUUGUCUACGUCUAGUCAACGAAAGAGCAACGUCAGACACAGUUAACAAUCCAUAUAAGCCGGCCGAAAAAGGUUUGGUUGGUCCAGUUUGGUCAAGUCAUUUGCAUCUUUCGUAAGCUGUUUACAGACUAUACCGAGUGCUACCAGAAUAUGAAUUCACAUGCAAAUGCAAAACCGGAUUCCAAGAAGAAUCAAUCAUCUAAUAAACCCGAGAAUCAAGUGAAAACUUCGUCUGCUGCUGUGUUUACCGUCUGGAACAAGUCGGACAAAUCGAAACCUUCACCAAACAGCAAAGCCGUCAGCACUAAAACUGUUUUCUCUCAUUCACUUUCUCAUAGGUCCUUUACAGGUCUUUUCUGAAACAAUGGCCGAUGCUGCGUAUUAUUGCAAACGAUGAUUGUUCCAGCAUUCGUGGUUUAAGUGAAUGAGGGUGCUGCAUAUAUAUAUAUACACAUUUUAAAAUUGACUAUGCGGAUGGAAAAAUAUACAUGUGAUGAAAUGAUGUUUUUUUUUUAUUUCUUUUCUUUAAUUUCAUAUGUUUUGUCCACAUAUAUAGAGGGGAAAAAAUGCCAUUAACGGACAACGGGAUGAGCUAGCCUACUUUUGACUUGGCAUAAAGGGAAAUGUUGAAACUCUCUUGCCGACUCUUGUGAAAUCAAAUGUUUCUUUUCUUGCAAAAUCAGCCCGCCGGGCUUGACGUCAAUUUCUAUAAACAAAAAGAAAACUCGUUUUCCAAACAACAGUAUAACAUUAUAGCCUUUCGUGACGAGGCCAACGGCCUUUUCUAUUACUCAGAUGUAUAUAGCUAGGCUAUUAAAUAUACAUAUCCUUCCACGUGUUUUAAUGUUGGCUAAACCUGACUCAUUUCGAAUGGGAUUUCCCCCGCUCCCCAACUUCCGAAUCACGCCGUUCUUAUUUCCACAAAACCUUGGCGUUUGUGUUCUUUCAUUUGCAGGUAUCUAGACUAUAUAGAAAACAUUCACCUGCGCCCUUUGUUGAGAGACACGUUGUUGCAGCACGUAAGCCAAUAGAUAUAAAAAGGACGGCUGGCAUUUGAAACAAAGUCAUUCGUGUCUCUGCAACCGCGGCCAGCAGCAGUUCAACAUUCAUGGAUGUGCCACGUAUUAAUUCGAGCCGAAUCUUCCAAGAUGCCGCCAAGAAGAUCUCAUCGAAGGACAGCAAGAAUAACAAUCAAUCAAACGUUUAUUCGAUCGUCGGAGCCAUUUGGAGCGUGUCGGAGAGGACGAAACAAGAUGGCACCAAGACGCAAACAAGCCCCUGGUGUCUAUCCCAAACGCUUUGCCAGAAGCCGUUCACGGGACUCUUCUGAACAGCAAUUUCUUGAUUAUACAUCGUUGCGGGCAAAGAAAAAAUAUACAAUCGCCGAUUGUGCCGUGUGUAGACUACAGUUUAAUGAAUCAUUGUAAAGUAAUUUAACUCAAUGACUGUAUAUAUAUGUACCGUUUAUAGUUAUGUAAUACACCAGAUUAAAAGACACA